CUUGUUUUUAGUGACGAUUGUAAUAUAGCAUUUUCUGAGCUAUCCGCCAGCAGACACUUUUUAUGAAAGAAUGUUUACUCAAAAGAACCAGCUAGUUACAUCGAAAAAGCCAGUUACCCUCCAAAGACAUAAAAUUCACAUGCUGACCUCUUGAUACAACACAUUUUUUUUUAAAAAAAGGGCACAGUGCUACUAUAUUUGACCGUGUACAAUUACACUUUCAAAAUAAGACAAACAACCCCGUUUGCUGGGAAGUUUCAAUGUGAGGUCUGUUUUGAAAAAGUGCCAACCCAGGAAAUAAAUAAAAUGGCUCUCCAAAGUAAGUGUGUCGUCUUUCACCCGCGAAUAUCCUCAUUUGCUCAGGUCUCCUGUGCUCAACAAUUUUUGCGGAGCUCCAAACGUGAGGUCAAUUUUGAAACAGUUCCGAGAGUGGCCUCAACUCAACGUGAAAUCCUGGGACGUAUUAGGACGGGGUUCGGUGUUCGAAAAAGGCUCUUCCCGCGGGCAGACACUCGCCCUCCGGGGAGUACGCCCCCCCACCCAGUGUUUACUUUUCCGAUUGGGGAAGGGGGAGGGAAGGACUGAGAGAGAACGGAGUUUUGAUUACUGUUAGAUUUUUUUAAAUGAAAGUCUUCACUUUGAAGUAAAAGACUGCUUUGUUGACAUCCAGAAAGCACUAUGAAUACAUUUCAUAUGUAUCAGAUAAGGAAAUACACUUCAAGCACACACAGGCAGGAAAAAACCAGAAUCAUUCUGUUAACGAUUAAUUGUAAUUUAAGAAUUUACCUCUGGGUUUUGUAACUUUCCAGCCCCGUUGUGCACUUAAUCCUUAGUUUCCUUAAGCUCAUAAAACAGAUGUUCCAUUUGUUCGGGAACCCAUGUGUUGUUGUUGGUUGUUUUUUUUUUUUUUUUUAACAACUUACAAUGCUUGAGUGACAUCAUUAAAGGUGUAAAUAAAAUGCAACUUCUGUUUGAAACAUACACUUUAAGCCACUUACUUUGGGGUCUUUCGACUGCAGACAUUUUAAAAUGAGUCUUUUUAAGUUGAUAUUUUAGUGAAUAAAUAAAUGGGGUGGUCUAUCCCAGUUAAACUGCAAAAUGCAUGGGCCUUGGAAGCAGCUCAAAAUCCAUCUCAAGUUUGGGGAGUUAAGGACGGAUAUGAUUACCGUGCCCACGGUGGGGCCGUUGAAAGUUAAUUAGUGGUGUUUUUCUUUUGCUCUUUCCUCUUCCCAUGUUUCUUUAAACAUUUUUUUUUUUUUUUUUUUUUUUACCAAGCUGAUUCCUUAUUGAGAAGGGGGAACCCGGUGGUGACGCCGGAGUGGUUUGUACUGAAGCCGGAUUUAAAAGCACAGAGGCACCGCCCGCGCCGCGCUCUCAGGCGGGUCCCCAGCCCCGCCGUGCGAUUCGUGUGAUUCGCGGCCAGAUGGCGGUGAGGCGCGGAGGCCCUUUGUGCGCCCGGAGCGCGCGAGUGAAUGCCGCGCGGUCGCUGGCACCGGAAGGGUUCACACUGCGUCUGAAAGGGGACAAUGGAGGCUGGAUAUAUCAACACCGCAGAAAUCGAGAUCAUUUGUGAUUCAGCCCCUUUCACCAUGAUUUCCUUAGCCCAGUCUGAGGCGUUCCUAACAGAGCUCCUGGAUAACGUGUGUGAGCGAAUGAAUGACUACAAGCUUGAAGAGGACCCGGUGACCAAGGAAAAGACCUUCAGGAGAUUCGCUCCAAGGAAAGGAGACAAAAUAUACAAAGAAUUUAAAAAAUUCUUUUUUCAUUCGGAUGCGUACAGACCCUUGAAAUUCGCGUGUGAAACCAUACUAGAGGAGUACGAAGAUGAAAUACUCUCACUUAUCACCCAGGAGGCACACGACCUGGCUGACAAGCUGUGCAAUGAAAACUCAGAUCUGUGUGACAUGUCUAAUCACACUGAACUCUAGGAAUGACCGUGCUACUCGUUAGAGACGAGUCAAGUCACAGCCCAAGGUCCAUGUCUGCACCAGGUCUUCAUGUUUCUUCCUGAGGAGAGAUUUUAUAUCUUGUUUAUACCAUGUUGUCUCGUGUAUGAUAUUUUUGUUGAAAAUCUGUUGUUUGGAAUCACGACAAAUCCUGAUUCUUUCUAUAGCUGAAGUUGAGGGCAUAAAACAAACUACCUUUGCGGAUUUUGAUACAAACAGGCUUGGCAAUAAAGCAUUUCAUUCGGUAAUAGGAAAAAAAAAAUCUGAAACCAUUUCGUAAAUGAAAUAAGGACUUAAUGUGGAUUGUAUAUUUUAUCAAACCUACAAGUAUAGUGUUCUAUUUGAUAAGAACUUGAUUUAAUUUCUUAAAUACUUGAUUGGUCAUGAAAUUAAGGCAAUAUAUUGCCACCAAUUCUAGAUUGUGUCUUCUGGGUUAUAUAUGGCUCUCGGUGAAAGAAAUGAAUUCACGUUACAGCAGGAAUGAAAUUUAAAUUUCUAGAAACCUUAAGUUUAAAAACUUUUUAAUCUCUCAAAUUUAAUUGAAUGCAUAAAAAUAGUGAAUACUUUUAUAGUGAAUAUUAACUAUGUUGGCCUUUCUUACUCAUACAUUCUGAAUUCAAAUGAUUUAGAAAGUUAAUUUAUUAUUACAUCAUAUAUUCUUAAAAAGAUGACACCAAUGACCAUGUCUUGUUUUGCUGCAAACUCUCCUGGUGUGUUUUUGUUUUUUUAAGACUUUCAGCUAACAUUGAAUGUGUAGAUUUUACCACUAACUAACUAACCCAUCGUUCUUCUACCUGUGUGUUUUUGUAGGUGUGGAGAUGGAAGGGAAGGUGGGACCUUUUGGGAAAUUACCUUUUGACCACCCUAAUAUCAGAGUGUAGUAACCACCUCUCUUUCAGACAUUUCAUUGUCUCUGUUAAAUUUACAUUCAAUGGAAUCUGACUUUAAUAAUUUAAAAUGUCAGGGCGUAUUCUACACCUGCUUUAAAAGGGAAAUUCUCAUUGUCGUCAGGGAGAAUGUACUGGGUAGGAUGAUACAAAUUCCUCCCUAAAAGAGCAAAACUAUUUGCCAUAUGUUCCAUAAUUGCCCAGAAAGCACACUGUUUAAACCAGUCAACUGACUCUUCCGGAGGAAAACUUCUUAAAUUUAGGGAAAUUUACCAUUUCCAUUUUCCUCUCUCUCCACCCUAACUCAGAUUCUUAUGUGAAUGUCUCUUAUUUAUUUGGGAAAAUUGAGGAGAUGUGUGCUGUUUUGGUUUGUCUGUAGCUUGUUACAUCCUAGAGCGCCUACACAGUGUAACCCAAUGAACAUGCACAGCAGCUGGUAGAGAAUGGAAAUAGGGUUUAAGAAAAAUUAGGACCAUUUUUCAGUAAGAUAGUAAAAUUGUUAUUUAAAACAUAGUUCCUAUCUCUUUAUGUAAACUUAUCUAUUUAAGAUUAAUUUAACAUUUCAAAUAGUCAUAAACAUUUUUCUAACUUGGGCUUUCUUGGUAAAUGCUCAAAAAAGAAACAUUAUUUCUUCUCGGGAACACUAGAGAUGCUGGCACAAAGUAUCCACUAAAAGGAUAGAGAUGCUGACACAAAGUAUCCACUAAAAGUGUAACAUUUAUAAUUGUAAAAGUGUUACCACAGUCCUUUCCUUAUUCUCAUUGGCAAUUGUUACAAAUCCUCAGAUGUAGACAGUACCCAUGCUAAUGUAGACAAUUUAAGAGAAUCUGGGCUCCUGUUCACAGCCUAAGAGAACAUGGAGGGGUGCGCCUUCUUUCCACUGAUGGAUGUUUCUAAUGCAUGUUGAUGCUUCUGCUUUGACUGGAAGAACCGUGCAUCUUGCCUCUGAUAAUGAAUAUCUAAGGUUUUGCUAAAUACGACUUUUUUCAGUUUUUUUAUUGCCAGUAAAAAUAGUCUUGACUCUUACAAGAUGUGUGAUAUCUCAGGAUUUUCUUUUCAGAAUUUUUUUCCAGAUCAAACUUAUUAAACUCAUGUAAAUAUUUGUAGUUUACUAAGUUACGGAUUAAAACUACAUUUGAGUGAUAGAAACCACUGUAUUUCUUACAGCUGCCAUGAUUCGUCAGUUUCCCUCUGGGUCAUGGGAAGAUUGCACUGCUUUUGCUAAUGAACAAUAAUGAGAUAGAGUAACUGCUUGCUUUAGCCUCCCUCCCAACCACAUUUCUGCCCUUUUAAUGACAUUUAUUGACCAAAAACAAAACAAAAGCAGAAAGCCAGGGGAAACAAAACAAACACCACCUAGGAUGUGACAGAAAAGUUUCUCAGAGUUAAAAGAAAAGCAACCUAAUUCCAGGUCAAAAAAAUUCCUGGAGGAAAAGAUGGGGUGGGUGGGGGGUGAUGCUUAUUAAAAUAAUGAGGAGAGAAGACAUGUUUGAGGUGGGUGGCUGCGAAUUGUACUUUUAUGAGAUGGUUUCUUUGGGUCUCCAUGGAGGACUUCUGUGAACCUGUUCUCAUAAAGAAAAGACCAAAUUGGCUGAGAUGAACAGUUUAUAUUUGUUAUGUGGAUUACUAUUUGCUAAGAAUAAGCCACAAGCAAUGAAUCCAUUUCACUGAGGAGUGUACAGUGGAAUGAGUCAAAGUCCCAAACGGAAGACAUCAAUACUUUAUUUCCUAGUACAAGCCCUGAAAAAAUAGAGCCAAUAGCUGGUUAUAUUUUUUAUCCCUGUUACUCUGCUUAGGCUAUUUAUUCAUGAAUAAAUAAAUAGCUUGAUCGAAAUAAAAAUUUUUAAUUAUGUAUCAGCCUUAAAAUUCAGAUGGUAAUGGAAUAUGAGAAGAAGCUAUUCUUUGCAGUGAUUUUGUGGUCUGUUUUAAAACUGGACACAAAUCUGUGAGCUCAUCUUAAAUCUUGACGCCCACUCAGUGACAUAUGGCACAGCUUUAUGCCAAAAUGCAAUUAACAAUAUUAAAUCAUCAUGAUAGAAAGAUGCCUGUUAGAUACAAGUGUGUUUUUGUUAUGAUUUUCUACCUAUUAUUUAAUGUCCCUUUAUAAGUUUCUUAAAUUCCUCACAUAAUUCGUUUAAUAUAUUAAAUAUGAAAGUCAUAUUUAAUGUGACUUGUGGCCCUUAAAUCGCCUAGGAAAGAAGCCAUAAGACACUGUCCCUUGGUACCCCUUGUACUUGCUAUGCCUUGCCCUGACUGUGUAUUUGCUGAGGAAGGAGGUCCGCUCUUUUUGUCCAAGGAGAAGGUGAUUACCUUUAAUAUAACAUUAGCUCACUUGUCUGUAGGGGAAUCACGUGAAGAGUCAGGCUUUGCCUUCUAAGGACAGUUUGGGGCAGUGGGGUCCAAACAUCAGAUACAGCUGACCGCCCUUCUGAAUUCUCAGGACUCAGGAGAUGGAUGUGUAAGUAGGAACACGGACACGGAGACGCACACAUACAAACCUACGUGCACAGAUACAAGGUGGGGACACGGGGACGUAAGCCAGAGCGGUGGUCGCUGCAUGGUAGCGGACUCAGAGAAAAGGGGUCUAAAGACGUCUUUAGCACCUCAAAAAAAAACCACGUUAUUUCUAUGCCCCUCAUCUUGAUUCUUCAAGAAAGAAAGAAAAAACUCCUCUAAAUUACAGCACACAGAGAAAAUCUUUGACCUCACAACAGAAGAUAUUUACAAAACACGUUGGACCUGUUAGGAAGUUACUGGAAAACAAAAGCACCAGGGGGUUUCACUGGAAGUAUGGUGGAAUCUCAGUAUAAUGGGGCUCAUUGUUAUGGAACACAGAUGUCAAGAAACCAUUUUGGGAGUCAAAAUUGUGUCCCCCAAAACAGGGUAGCACCAAGCAAAAGCCCGAAACAAUGAGGUAAACCGUUAAAUAGAACGCAGGGAGUCGGUCCGCCAACUGCUCAGCGUGGGCAAGUUCCUGCCCUGCAGGCCUGGUGGGUCCCUGAGGUGACUCGGCGGCGUGCGUGCCCUCCCUUGGGGCUGCUCGGGAGUCUACCGACACCCACCGCAGCUCGGGAGUGGUAAUAACCCCACAUCUAAGGAGCACAAGUUACAGAACAGAGCGGUGGAUACCCACCGGCAGCUAAGGAGGCCUGGCAGAGACUCGGGAAGAUCCUGCAAGUGCCAAGUUCAAACAUUAAUACCAAUUUCAAACUUUAGGAACAAGGAGGUUGGCACCUGAAGACUGCGUGUACGCCUGCCAUUUCCUGGGAAGGCUUUGCCGCCAAGCUGCUUUCCGAACAGGUGGGACUGUCUCCACAGCGUGUUCUGUGAUACUGGCCGAGAAAGGUGACGAUAAUCCAUGAGGGGACGCCAUUGUCAACAGGGAGGGAGAUUCCAAUCAGGUGUGCUGACACUCCUUCCUGCCAACCCACAAAAGCUCAGUGACUGGCGUGUCCGCCGGCAGUGCCACCGCAGGGACCUUCUGCAGGGAGGCAGAAGCGACCUGGAGCAGCGUUCCUGUGAUGACACACACCCUUAAACCACGCGGAACAAAAGCUGCUGACGUUCCAUACUAAUGGGUGUGAGACACUGAAUCUUAGGAAAGAAGGCCACGUUCAAGACCAUGUGGGCACCUCCUGCCCCUGCUCUUCCUGGAGACAGCAGAGUGAGUCGGGGUCCACGGGGGCCACACUGUGGGAACCCUUGGUCCCCGAACAACCGGGAGGUGCCAUUCAGACCAGAGCAAGCCCGGGCCCAGGACGGGCGGGUGACCGAUGCCACCUCAGUCUGUCCCUGACCUGCGAAGGAGAAGGGCCAUUC